rnacentral:misc_RNA from 1 species
GACUUGCGCAAAACAUUGGUGGUCCGAUUGUUUCCUUUUUUCUCGCGACAUGAGCGCGCAGCACUCGUCAGAUGCGUCAACGUACCACACAUCCCCCUUUCCCUAUCGUUUUUGUCGGUUGGUCGGCAGCCAUCAUAGCGGACGAGUUUUGUCAGCCGCUCGGACUUGAUUUACGUGAACAGGCACCCGACGCCUGCCGUUGGAAACACUACCGUCGUAUUGCAGCCGAGAACUAAACAACAAGCAGCUUGGGAUCUCAGCUUCGUCUUCAAUCUGUUGAUAAAACAAACAAAAAGUGCCUUGAUUAUCGAAGCAGACUCUUCGAAUGGCUGAACAUUUCCUUUAAAAAACAAAACAAAUCGGCGUGUGUUUCAUCGCCAGGAUUUAAAAAAAAAAAGAACUAUUUCAUUCGAAAUAUCGUGUGUGUGUGCUUUGUGUAGUUGCUGUGCCAUAUACAGUGUUGUCUAUGUGUGCCUGUUUCUGACGAACGUGGAGUACUUGUCAAUGUGUGUGUGACGUGGACACACGCGAUAGUUUUCUUGGUACCAACAGCCGGGAAAACCGACGGGCCAGUAAGCCACGCGAUUUGCUGUUCGUAUAUUCCAUUCCUGGAACGAAUUUAAUUUCUAUUCGCUUCUGUUUUGAUCAAAAGGGACCAACAAAAAAGAAAGCGGGCAAAGAGAAUCCGGUUGCUGUUACCUGAUUCGGUAUCAUGAUUGACCCCAGCUCUUCCGAAGAGGAAACGGAUGAGGAGGGAGUUGAGGAGCCACAUCAACAUCAUCGUCAUCACCAUCAUUCGCAAAGGGCCGCCAAAGGCCAAGACGUUGGCGGCUCGUUUGCAGGAGGUCCCAAUAACACAUUUGGGAUAACUCCUGGACAGCUUGCAGGUCAUGGCAACAGCAAUCUUGGCGUCGGUGGCAAUGGGGCAGGGGCUGCGUCCAGUACAGCUGCAACGUCGUGUGGGGAGGAGGAGGAGGAGGAGGAGCUUCCAAUAGCCUGGAUGUUCCUCAGUCGUCGGGCAGUCUGCCCAGGUCCGUAUCGCCGGGUUUGGGGCCAGAUGGCGGUACUUCCACUUCAACCACCGCAACCCUGCCGGCCCAUUCGCCCUCGCUCAAUUCCUCCCACCGCAGCGGAUCCCUACCCAGGCCGUUAUCGCCUUCGCCGUCGCUCUCCAGCGAUAAAAACGAACAGGAUUUUCAGGAGCGAGAGGAAGAGGAGAGGAAACGUCGGCUUCAGUUGUACGUCUUCGUGUCACGUUGCGUCGCCUAUCCUUUCAACGCCAAACAACCGACCGACAUGACCAAAAGACAACUCAAAGUCACCAAGCAACAGCUUGAGUCACUCCAGCAACGUUUCCAGAGCUUCCUGAAAGGCGAGACACCCAUCCUGGCUGACGAAGCGUUUCACAAUGCCGUUCAGAGCUACACUGAGCUGUUUUUACGCUCCGAUCGAGUCCUUCAUGCCGUUACGGCUGGUGGCCUCUCGUCACAGGAUUUUCGCGAUGUGUUCCGGUUGAGUGUCGAACGUCGAGUUCGAUCGUUGCCCGACAUUGAUGGUCUUUCCAAAGAGACGGUUCUAACAUCUUGGAUGGUUAAAUUCGACGCCAUCUUUAAAGGCGUUGGCGAGGACGACUCGAGAAGGCCUGGAGGCGGACCGAGAUCUCAGCAACAGCAGCAAGCGCAGCUGAACCAAACUCUGCACAGUGAAUUGGCCUUGUCCAAAGAGCAACUUUACGACCUAUUUCAGCAAAUUCUCGGGGUCAAAAAGUUCGAACAUCAGCUGCUGUUCAACGCCUUACAACUGGAUUCAUCGGAUGAACAAGCGGCCGCAAUCCGGAGAGAACUGGAUGGCCGACUACAAAAAGUAGCGGAAAUGGAAAAGAACCGGAAACUGAUGCCAAGAUUCGUCUUGAAAGAGAUGGAGGUGCUGUACAUCGAAGAACUUAAAUCGUCCAUCAACCUGCUGAUGGCCAAUUUAGAAUCGUUGCCAGUCAGCAAAGGUUCAGCUGAUUCACGCUACGGUUUGCAACGCUUCAAACGCUACAACGUCAGCGGGAAACGGAGGAGCUCGUUGCUCAGAUCUCAAGGAUCGCUUUCCAGAUUAGAUCAGGAUGGACCCGACGGAGAAUCUACCCUCUCUAAAAUGGAUAUCGUCUUGUCUUUUACACUCGAGGUCAUUAUCAUGGAAGUGAAAGGAUUGAAAUCCUUGGCACCCAAUCGCAUCGUCUACUGCACCAUGGAAGUAGAAGGCGGUGAAAAAUUGCAGACGGACCAAGCGGAAGCAUCGAAACCUAUGUGGGACACUCAGGGCGAUUUCACUACCACUCACCCGCUGCCUCAAGUUAAGAUGAAGCUUUUCGCCGAAGCUGAAGGAAUGUUUGCUCUUGAAGACAAGGAGCUUGGAAGGAUCGUUCUUCGCCCUACCCCAUUAGCCUCCAAGUUCCCCGAAUGGCAUAAAAUGGAAGUUCCUAAAAACGCCACCGACAAAGACUUGCGUAUCAAAAUCGCCUGCCGCAUGGACAAGCCGCUCAAUAUGAAACAUUGCGGGUACUUGUACGCCUGGGGCAAAGGCGUUUGGAAGAAAUGGAAAAAACGCUAUUACGUCCUUGUUCAGGUAUCGCAAUACACCUUUGCAAUGUGCAGCUACAAGGAGAAGAAGACGGAACCGUCCGAAAUGUUCCAGUUGGAUGGCUAUACAGUCGACUACAUCGAGGCCGCCAGCGCCAAUUUGAUGGUGGGAAUGGCAUCAGAUUUGGAUGGCGGGCGGUUUUUCUUCAAUGCCGUCAAGGAAGGCGACAGUGUCGUCUUUGCUGCCGAUGACGAAGCAGAGUCGCAUCUUUGGGUGAUGGCCCUCUAUCGAGCCACUGGACAGUCGCACAAGCCUGCGCCGCCUCUCACGCCAUCCGGCAAAAGUUCUACUAUCGCAAAAAUACAAGGAGACACGGAUCGUGCUCGCAAGCAUGGAAUGGAGGAAUAUAUUUCGGCUGAUCCUGUUAAAUUCGACCAUUCGCUCCUUUUCAAGCUGGUCCAAACGCUGACGCUGGACUUUCGGUUGAAUGACCCUUUUGCAUCCUUGGGCUGGUUCUCACCAGGACAAAUCUUCGUCCUAGACGAGUAUUGCGCUCGCUACGGAGUACGGGGAUGCUACCGUCACUUGUACUACUUGGCCGAUUUGCUUUACAGAGCCGAACGUGGAACGAUGAUUGAUCCCACUCUGAUCCAUUAUUCUUUCGCCUUCUGCGCCUCGCACGUACACGGAAAUCGCCACUCGGACGGGGAUGUGCUUGCCCCUGCCAGGCCCGAUGGCGUGGGCACGGUCACGCACGAGGAGAAGGACAAGUUUCAAGAAAUCAAAGAGCGGCUUCGUGUUCGUCUUGAAUAUCAAAUCACCAACUUUAGAUCGUGUUUUCCAUUCGGUCGUCCCGAAGGAGCAUUGAAAGCUACCCUAUCGCUUAUGGAGCGGGUCUUAAUGAAGGACAUUAUGACUCCCGUCCCAGCAGAAGAAGUUCGUGCUGUCAUUAAGAAAUGUUUAGAGAAUGCGGCGCUCAUCAACUAUAACAAGCUGGCCAGUGAAGCCAAAGUGGAAGGAGCCGAAACUACAAUUCAAGAUGAUUUGAGUGGCGAACAGCCGGGCGUACCUCCCAUGAAGAAACUGGAAGAUCUCAUCCAUUUAGCUGAACUAUGCGUCGAUCUACUCCAACAGAAUGAAGAACACUAUGCCGAGGCUUUCAAAGGGGAUCAAGCAUUUGCCUGGUUCAGUGAUCUCCUGGUAGAGCACGCCGAGAUUUUCUGGUCUUUUUUCGCGGUUGAUAUGGACGCCGUCUUGGCUGAACAACUGCCUGACACUUGGGACUCGUUCCCAUUGUUCCAGAUUCUCAACGACUACCUCAGGAUGGACGAUAAUCUGAAGAACGGCCGUUUUCAUCAACAUUUGCGUGACACGUUUGCACCACAAGUGGUUAGAUAUGUAGAUCUCAUGGAAUCCAGCAUAGCCCAAUCGAUUCAUAAAGGAUUCGAGAAAGAAAAAUGGGAGAUCAAAGGAAAUGGCUGUUCCACUUCAGAGGAUCUUUUUUGGAAGUUAGACGCCCUCCAGUCGUUUAUUCACGAUCUGCAUUGGCCAGAUGCCGAGUUUGCCCGUCACUUGGAACAACGACUGAAACUCAUGGCUUGUGACAUGAUUGAAUCAUGCAUUCAAAGGACAGAGAACGCUUUCCAACAAUGGCUGAAAAAGGGGGUCACUUUCAAUUCGACAGAUUAUGUCCUUCCUGCCGAACUGUGUGCCAUGGUCAACGUAGUGCUUGAUGCCAAGCAACAGUCUUUCAAACUCUGCGCCGUUGACGGGGUCGAUGUGCAUCAAUAUCAUACUAAAAUCGACGAACUCAUCGAGAGAACUUCCUCCACCAUGUCCCAAGGCGUUGUUAGCCGAUUACUGUCAGUUCUAGAGUCGGUAAUCAGCAAGUUGGCACGCUAUGACGAAGGAUCUAUCCUUGGGUCAAUCCUAUCAUUUACGUACAAGCAGAAUGUUUCGGGAUCGGGUCGGGAUCUUGGCCAAUCGUACGUGAAUUUUACCCGGAACUCCAUGGACCAAAUCCGCAGCAAAGUCAAUGACGAACUCUGGAUUCUCAACCUGUUUGACGCAUGGUACGCGGCUCAGAUUCAAAUGCUGGGCACAUGGCUGGCCGACCGGAUGAACCACUCUCUCCAUCCUUAUCAAUGCACUUGCUUAGCUCACAUUGUCAAGAAAUUGCCUGCUGAUUUAGAAGUCCACGGGAUGUUGCCAACAUCGCUCCACGGUCGUGACGCUGUGGUAGUAGCUCAGCGUAUCGCUACCGAGCAACAACAGCUGAUUCGUGCUGGAAAAAUAGAGUAGUCUGUUAUCGUGACGUAGUAGCUUCUUGUACGUGGCAUGGAUCAGUAAAUUGUACACGGAUUUUGAACUACAAGGCGUCAUAGAAGAAAAUUUAAAUUCGAGGCUGUAUCAGACUGUAUCGACAAGAAUGCAGACGGAGGAGGCUACCUGCGCUCUCACCAUGGGCAUGAGUGGUUACAAUGAAAUGGG